rnacentral:tRNA from 1 species
GCUCAGGUGGCGGAAUGGUAUACGCACCAGCUUGAGGUGCUGGCGGGGGCAACCCCGUGGAGGUUCGAGUCCUCUCCUGAGCACCA